rnacentral:rRNA from 1 species
GGGGGCCCGCAAGCGGUGGAGCAUGUGGUUUAAUUCGAUGCAACGCGAAGAACCUUACCUGGUCUUGACAUCCACGGAAGAAUCCAGAGAUGGAUUUGUGCCUUCGGGAGCCGUGAGACAGGUGCUGCAUGGCUGUCGUCAGCUCGUGUUGUGAAAUGUUGGGUUAAGUCCCGCAACGAGCGCAACCCUUAUCCUUUGUUGCCAGCGGUCCGGCCGGGAACUCAAAGGAGACUGCCAGUGAUAAACUGGAGGAAGGUGGGGAUGACGUCAAGUCAUCAUGGCCCUUACGACCAGGGCUACACACGUGCUACAAUGGCGCAUACAAAGAGAAGCGAACUCGCGAGAGCAAGCGGACCUCAUAAAGUGCGUCGUAGUCCGGAUCGGAGUCUGCAACUCGACUCCGUGAAGUCGGAAUCGCUAGUAAUCGUGGAUCAAAAUGCCACGGUGAAUACGUUCCCGGGCCUUGUACACACC